rnacentral:rRNA from 1 species
UAGGGAAUCUUCCGCAAUGGACGAAAGUCUGAUGGAGCAACGCCGCGUGAGUGAUGAAGGGUUUCGGCUCGUAAAACUCUGUUGUUGGAGAAGAACAGGUGUGAGAGUAACUGUUCACAUCUUGACGGUAUCCAACCAGAAAGCCACGGCUAACUACGUGCCAGCAGCCGCGGUAAUACGUAGGUGGCAAGCGUUGUCCGGAUUUAUUGGGCGUAAAGCGAGCGCAGGCGGUUUCUUAGGUCUGAUGUGAAAGCCUUCGGCUUAACCGGAGAAGUGCAUCGGAAACCAGGAGACUUGAGUGCAGAAGAGGGCAGUGGAACUCCAUGUGUAGCGGUGAAAUGCGUAGAUAUAUGGAAGAACACCAGUGGCGAAGGCGGCUGUCUGGUCUGUAACUGACGCUGAGGCUCGAAAGCAUGGGUAGCGAACAGGAUUAGAUACCCUGGUAGUCCAUGCCGUAAACGAUGAGUGCUAAGUGUUGGAGGGUUUCCGCCCUUCAGUGCU